UACGUAGGGUGCAAGCGUUGUCCGGAAUUAUUGGGCGUAAAGAGCUCGUAGGCGGUUCGUCGCGUCGGCUGUGAAAACCCGGAGCUCAACUCCGGGCCUGCAUUCGACACGGGCAGACUAGAGUGUGGCAGGGGAGACUGGAAUUCCUGGUGUAGCGGUGAAAUGCGCAGAUAUCAGGAGGAACACCGGUGGCGAAGGCGGGUCUCUGGGCCAAUACUGACGCUGAGGAGCGAAAGCGUGGGGAGCGAACAGG
rnacentral:rRNA from 1 species